rnacentral:rRNA from 1 species
AAUCGGAAUUACUGGGCGUUAAAAGCGCAUGCAGGUGGUUUGUUAAGUCAGAUGUGAAAGCCCGGGGCUCAACCUCGGAAUUGCAUUUGAAAACUGGCAAACUAGAGUACUGUAGAGGGGGUAGAAUUUCAGGUGUAGCGGUGAAAUGCGUAGAGAUCUGAAGGAAUACCGGUGGCGAAGGCGGCCCCCUGGACAGAUACUGACACUCAGAUGCGAAAGCGUGGGGAGCAAACAGGAUUAGAUACCCUGGUAG